GACGAACGCUGGCGGCGUGCUUAACACAUGCAAGUCGAACGGAAAGGCCCCUUUGGGGGUACUUGAGUGGCGAACGGGUGAGUAACACGUGAGUAACCUGCCCUCGACUUCGGGAUAACUUCAGGAAACUGGGGCUAAUACCGGAUAGGAAUCCUUGCUGCAUGGUGGGGGUUGGAAAGCUUCGGCGGUUUUGGAUGGACUCGCGGCUUAUCAGCUUGUUGGUGGGGUAGUGGCUUACCAAGGCUUUGACGGGUAGCCGGCCUGAGAGGGCGACCGGCCACAUUGGGACUGAGAUACGGCCCAGACUCCUACGGGAGGCAGCAGUGGGGAAUAUUGCACAAUGGGCGGAAGCCUGAUGCAGCAACGCCGCGUGCGGGAUGACGGCCUUCGGGUUGUAAACCGCUUUCAGCAGGGGCGAAGCUUGUGGUGACGGUACCUGCAGAAGAAGCACCGGCUAACUACGUG
rnacentral:rRNA from 1 species